AGCCUACGGGGGGCAGCAGUGAGGAAUAUUGGUCAAUGGGCGCGAGCCUGAACCAGCCAAGUCGCGUGAGGGAUGACGGCCCUACGGGUUGUAAACCUCUUUUGCCGGGGAGCAACGGGCGCCACGUGUGGCGCCACUGAGAGUACCCGGAGAAAAAGCAUCGGCUAACUCCGUGCCAGCAGCCGCGGUAAUACGGAGGAUGCGAGCGUUAUCCGGAUUUACUGGGCGUAAAGGGCGUGUAGGCGGGACUGCAAGUCAGACGUGAAAAUUAUGGGCUCAACCCAUAACCUGCAUUUGAAACUGUA
rnacentral:rRNA from 1 species